rnacentral:rRNA from 1 species
GAUGAACGCUGGCGGCGUGCCUAAUACAUGCAAGUCGAGCGAACAAACGAGGGUUUUCCUCCUCUUACGUUUUGGGCGGGCGUGUGAGUCACACGUGUAUACCCUCUCUUUACGACUGAGAUCACUUCGAGACACCUGAUCUAAUACCGUAUUAUAUAUUGAACCGUAUGGUUCAAUAGUGAACGACGUUUUUGCUGUCACUUAUUGAUCCUUCCUCGCCGCAUUUGCUAGUUGGUAAGGUAACGGCUUACCAAGGCAAUGAUUCGUAGCCGACCUGAGAGGGUGAUGGGCAACACUGGAACUGAGAAACGGUCCAGACUCCUACGGGAGGCAGCAGAAGGGAAUCUUGGGAAAUGGGCGAAAGCCUGACGGAGAAAGGCGGCGUGAGUGAGGAAGGUCUUCGGAUCGAAAAACUCUUUGAAUAGGGAGGAAGAGUGGUGGAAGGAAAAAUGCACGUUUUGACGGUACCUAAUCAGAAAGCCACGGCUAACUACGUG